GGCGAACGCUGGCGGCGUGCUUAACACACGCAAGUCGAACGGAAAGGCCCUGCUUUUGUGGGGUGCUCGAGUGGCGAACGGGUGAGUAACACGUGAGUAACCUGCCCUUGACUUUGGGAUAACUUCAGGAAACUGGGGCUAAUACCGGAUAGGAGCUCCUGCUGCAUGGUGGGGGUUGGAAAGUUUCGGCGGUUGGGGAUGGACUCGCGGCUUAUCAGCUUGUUGGUGGGGUAGUGGCUUACCAAGGCUUUGACGGGUAGCCGGCCUGAGAGGGUGACCGGCCACAUUGGGACUGAGAUACGGCCCAGACUCCUACGGGAGGCAGCAGUGGGGAAUAUUGCACAAUGGGCGGAAGCCUGAUGCAGCAACGCCGCGUGCGGGAUGACGGCCUUCGGGUUGUAAACCGCUUUCGCCUGUGACGAAGCGUGAGUGACGGUAAUGGGUAAAGAAGCACCGGCUAACUACGUG
rnacentral:rRNA from 1 species